rnacentral:rRNA from 1 species
UAAGCAAGGUGUGAAAUCGUACGGCUCAACCGUAUACACAUGCUUUGAACUGGCAAGCUAGAGUGUAGAAGAGGUCACUGGAAUUUCUAGUGUAGGAGUGAAAUCCGUAGAUAUUAGAAGGAACACCGAUGGCGUAGGCAGGUGACUGGUCUAUUACUGACGCUAAGGCACGAAAGCGUGGGGAGCGAACGGGAUUAGAUACCCCGGUAGUCCACGCCCUAAACUAUGGAUGCUA